GGUAUGAUUCUUAUCUUUUAACGUUUUUCUUUAUUGAACUGUUAGGUUUAUUGCUCACUUGGUGUAGAUUAGUCAUGUGGUAAUUAAUAAACAUGUUGGUUCAGAGCAUCUAAUUAGUAAAUAAUAAAUGUUUUUGGAGAAAGCUUAGCAGCCAUGAGAACAAAAAUAAUUAGGUCCUCAUAGUCAUGGCACUUUCAGAGGUCGCACUUGGUGCGAUGGCAAGUGCCUUCGCCCAUGAGCGGUAGGUCUCGGGUUCGAGACUUGGGAGCAGCCUCUCCAUAAAUGGGGGUAAGGCUAGCCGACAUUCACCUCUCCCAGACCCUGCGUAAAGCGGGAGCCUUGUGCACUAGGUACGACCUUUUUAUAGUCAUGGCACUUUCCAUAUUUUAUUUCAGCUAAGCUUUCAUGAAUUAGCCGACCCCACUUAGUGGGAAAAGGCUUUGUUGUUGUUGUUGUUGUAAGCUUUCAUGAAUCAUGACAACCGGUUGAGUGACAAUAUUUGUAACAAUUCUAUUGUCUUCUUUGUCAUCCACCAACAUUUACACUCAAUAGAAGACCAAAUUCCUCAUCCAUAUUGUUGAAAAAUUCUUUAAGUUUGUUGGGGUGGGGGCAGCCAGCUCAAGUGUCUCACUUGGUGGCCAUUCUGUAACUUCAAAGAUAGACAUCUUAAUGAUCAUCUUCUAGCGAAUUGACUCGUCUGAUGGCGCAAUGUGUAGGUGUAGUAGGUGGGAAUAGAAUGUCUUGUAAGGGGUGUUUGGUAUAACAGUCGAUGGAAGCAUUAGAAAAGCAUAUUCGAGCUUCGGGUUUUUAUUCUUUUUAUUUUUGUUGGCGGGGUUGGAGGAGAAGAGAAAAUGGGGGAAAAUAUUGGCAAGAAGUUCUAAAAUGACACUUCUGGUAGGUAAGGGAUUGUUUUCAAAAUCGACUAGCAGCCCGUUUUGCGUCACAAAGCACUAAUUGUCUUGGCAGGUUGUUUUUUGUGGAUUGGUGGGACAUUGUAUUCGUGUGUAUCUAUCUAUUUAAUUUUGUGAAUUAGAAAUAUCUGAUAACAAGGAUGGUUCACCUGUACCUAAACUUUAUUAUUUGCUAUUUGUUCAG
rnacentral:lncRNA from 1 species